rnacentral:tRNA from 1 species
GCCAUUUUAGCUCAGUAGGUAGAGCGCAUCCAUGGUAAGGAUGAGGUCGCGGGUUCAAUUCCCGCAAAUGGCUCCA